rnacentral:lncRNA from 10 species
CAUCAAACUAAAAAUCUGCACAGCAAAGAAAACAAUCAACAAAGUGAGAAGCCAAUCUACUGAACGGGAGAAAAUAUUUUAAAACCACCUAGCCAAUAAAGGGAGUUACCUUUCAUGGAAGGGUAAGCAGGAAGCAACUACAAGAUCAUCAUUUCAAAACAAUAUGAAAGCAGAAUGGGAAAUGCCAUGGCAUGCUCCCUCUUUUCAGGCAAUAUGGACACUUUGGGGAAGUUAUGAAGCGUCUCCCAUUCCCGCUUGAGGUACUCAAUAGAGCCCACAAACACAAUGUGCUUGAGCUCAUGGUAAUGAAAGUUGCUGGCACGGAGCGGCAUCACCAGGUUCCGGAGGCCGAUCAGGGCUGAGCUGACGUCGCCAAAGAUGCAGACCACGACAUGGCCACUCAGGACGGUCAUGGCAGCUUCACU